CUUGGGAUCCACAGUCCAAAGUUGAUUGGUGGAUCAAGUGAACUUGGUGCAUCUCCAUUCAAGCUGGAGUACAAUUACCAGCUUGCUUGUUUAGCGCAGUCUCCACAAUCAUACAAGCAAAUGAGCAUCUGUGGUGGCUUAGGGCGCGUGUUUGAGGCUGGUCCGGUAUUUAGAUCAGAAAAAUCAAACACUCACAGGCAUCUGUGUGAGUUUAUUGGGUUGGAUGCAGAAAUGGAGAUUAAGGAGCACUACUUUGAGGUUUGUGAUAUCAUAGAUCUAAUUGUAGCAAUAUUCAAACACCCAAAUGAAAAUUGUCAGAAGGAACUCAAGACAAUAAAUAGGCAGUAUCCAUUUGAACCUCUGAAGUACCUAGAGAAAACGUUGAAGCUAACGUACGAGGAAGGGAUUAAAAUGACAUGUACUUUUAUGUAUGUCUAUGAUAUCAUUAUUGUGGCGUUGUAUACAAUAUGCUCUUUUUUGUUGUUCUCACAGUAUGAUCGAUACUAG
rnacentral:rRNA from 1 species